rnacentral:rRNA from 1 species
AUGCAAGUCGAGGGGAAACGACAUCGAAAGCUUGCUUUUGAUGGGCGUCGACCGGCGCACGGGUGAGUAACGCGUAUCCAACCUGCCCACCACUUGGGGAUAACCUUGCGAAAGUAAGACUAAUACCCAAUGACGUCUCUAGAAGACAUCUGAAAGAGAUUAAAGAUUUAUCGGUGAUGGAUGGGGAUGCGUCUGAUUAGCUUGUUGGCGGGGUAACGGCCCACCAAGGCGACGAUCAGUAGGGGUUCUGAGAGGAAGGUCCCCCACAUUGGAACUGAGACACGGUCCAAACUCCUACGGGAGGCAGCAGUGAGGAAUAUUGGUCAAUGGGCGAGAGCCUGAACCAGCCAAGUAGCGUGCAGGAUGACGGCCCUAUGGGUUGUAAACUGCUUUUAUAAGGGAAUAAAGUGAGUCUCGUGAGACUUUUUGCAUGUACCUUAUGAAUAAGGACCGGCUAAUUCCGUGCCAGCAGCCGCGGUAAUACGGAAGGUCCGGGCGUUAUCCGGAUUUAUUGGGUUUAAAGGGAGCGUAGGCCGGAGAUUAAGCGUGUUGUGAAAUGUAGACGCUCAACGUCUGCACUGCAGCGCGAACUGGUUUCCUUGAGUACGCACAAAGUGGGCGGAAUUCGUGGUGUAGCGGUGAAAUGCUUAGAUAUCACGAAGAACUCCGAUUGCGAAGGCAGCUCACUGGAGCGCAACUGACGCUGAAGCUCGAAAGUGCGGGUAUCGAACAGGAUUAGAUACCCUGGUAGUCCGCACGGUAAACGAUGGAUGCCCGCUGUUGGUCUGAAUAGGUCAGCGGCCAAGCGAAAGCAUUAAGCAUCCCACCUGG